UUCGCAAUCAAAGAAAAAACUGAUUACCGAAUAAAUAUCGUUUCCGACCGAAACCGGGUGUUACACGCCGCCGCCGCCGCCGCCGCCGCCGACGGCGAUAGAUUUGGGGAUGGAUUUGGGCUCGUGCUACCUCGGUGGGAACGCCGACGCGGUGGAGUUCUGCCCGCACCGCCCGUUCCGCCACGUGCUGGCCGCCGCCACCUACACGCUGCAGGAGCAGGAGCGCGACCGGGCGGGCAGCAUAUCCCUCUUCUCAGUUGACGUUGCCUCGGAGGACGCGUCCCGGAGGCUCCAGCUGCUGUAUACUGUGGAGACCGCCGGCAUCUUCGAUAUGAAGUGGAGCCCCAAGUCGCCGCUGCUCGCGCAGGCCGACGCCCACGGCCGCCUCGCGCUCCGGCGCUUGGAGCAGGAGGACGGCUCGGACACAGGCAUUCUCCUCACCGAUGUCUCUGCUGAAGAUAUUUCUUCUUCAAUGUGCUUAUAUGUGGACUGGAACCAAACUGCGGAGUCUCUGUCUGUUGGAUUAUCAGAUGGCUCACUGUCUCUGGUUUCAGUGAGAGAGGACCGGCUGGAGAUAUCAGAACAGUGGACUGCACAUCAGUUCGAAGUCUGGACAUGCUAUUUUGAUCGUACAAGGCCACACUUGCUGUACAGUGGAUCAGAUGACUGUUGUUUCAGUUGCUGGGACUUGAGAGAAAGCCCAUCAAACAUUGUUUUUCAAAACAAAAAAUCUCAUAAGAUGGGUGUCUGUUGUAUUACACAGAAUCCGUUGGAGGGGAACAUGCUACUUACUGGGAGUUAUGAUGAAUUUCUCAGAGUUUGGGACAUGAGAUUUAUGGCAAAACCUGUCAAUCAAAAGUUGAUAAAUCUAGGAGGUGGUGUGUGGAGGAUGAAGUAUCAUCCUAGUAUUGCAGAUGUUGUAUUGGCUGCGUGCAUGCACAAUGGGUUUGCCAUUGUAAAAGUAGGUUCUGGAGAUGCUACGGUAAUGGAAACAUAUUGCAAGCAUGAGUCCUUAGCAUACGGUGCAGAUUGGCAGAAAAGUGAAGAGGUGGAGCAAAAUGGAAAUUCUUCAGUUGUUGCUACUUGUUCGUUUUAUGAUCGCCUCCUCCGCGUGUGGCAACCAGAGAAUCUAGCUGAGCUUUAAAGACCUAAAGCUUUUUUUGAAUUGAAUUCAAGCAUGACUAGGCCAUGAAUCUAUUUCCUGAAUGAACCAGUAUAAUUUCAUUCAGCUGCUCUAGUCAAAUAACUGGAAGACCUUGUCGUAAAAAAAGCUGGAAAGCCUCUAGUUCUGCUAAUGCUCCGUUUAAAUGGUGAUAUUGGAGGACAUUAAAUUGAAUUGGGUUCGCCAUGGUAUUGAAAUGAGAUGUAAUUUUAAUUAUAUUGCUUGAAUAUCACUGAAUUGGAGUUUAUAAUUGUGUGGUCCAAUUCCACUCAAUACACAGGAGUGAUGCUCUGUAGUAUUGGGAGAUGGAGUUUCUAGUUAUAGUCAAAUUUCGGGGAAUUUGGUCUUUGAUUUUAAAUCUCAAUUUCAUGUGCAACCAAACAAUAGAAAUUUGGAAAGCUAAUUUCAGUUCUUAAUU